CCGUGUUUAUUGUACCUUGUUGCUUCGGUGCGCCCGCCUCACGGCCGCCGGGGGGCUUCUGCCCCCGGGUCCGCGCGCACCGGAGACACUAUUGAACUCUGUCUGAAGAUUGCAGUCUGAGCAUAAACUAAAUAAGUUAAAACUUUCAACAACGGAUCUCUUGGUUCCGGCAUCGAUGAAGAACGCAGCGAAAUGCGAUAACUAAUGUGAAUUGCAGAAUUCAGUGAAUCAUCGAGUCUUUGAACGCACAUUGCGCCCCCUGGUAUUCCGGGGGGCAUGCCUGUCCGAGCGUCAUUGCUGCCCUCAAGCACGGCUUGUGUGUUGGGCUCCGUCCCCCCGGGGACGGGUCCGAAAGGCAGCGGCGGCACCGAGUCCGGUCCUCGAGCGUAUGGGGCUUUGUCACCCGCUCUGUAGGCCCGGCCGGCGCCAGCCGACAACCAAUCAUCCUUUUUUCAGGUUGACCUCGGAUCAGGUAGGGAUACCCGCUGAACUUAAGCAUAUCAAUAAGCGGAG
rnacentral:rRNA from 1 species